rfam:Dipodomys ordii contig_10876, whole genome shotgun sequence.
GGGAAAGUGGCUCAGUGGUAGAGCAGUUGCCUUGCAUGCAUGAGGCCCUGGGUUCGAUUCCCCAGCACCA